rnacentral:lncRNA from 1 species
GAAUCACCGAACCGCUUCUUCUCGCGAACGGCAUGCUGCUCGUGUCGGCUAUCCUUGUCCAUCCCUAUAUACCCUCGAUGUCUACUCCAGCAUUUCCCUAAGCUCCGCAAAACAUCUUAUUCGCUUAACACAAUUACCUCGUCCACCCCAGUGUCACUUGCAGUUUUCCUAUUCCCUCACAAAAUUUCCUCGCCCUCUACGCAGAUAUGUAACUCCCUAUAUCCGAAUCAAGCGAGCGGGAUCCCCUUCAGUUACCAGCCUCCCCCUUUCUCAAUCGCAGCCAAUCUCCCUUCCCUCUCUCCCUCCGCUAUACCCGGCAACCAGAUCGACCAAAACCGCUGUCGGCAAUCACCGUCCCUGAAGCACACAGUGACGUCCUCCGAAGCCCCCCGGUGCCCGUUCCUGAAGCGACGCGCGCGAUCGACGAUUGCUCAGGUACAAUCCUCCACGUGCAGGCCCUGCUUGCGUGUUUACACAGCUCGCAGGCUCGUUGGCCGGUGCUGCCCACGGCAGGCACGGUGGCUGGGCCUCUCCCACGCGUCCCUAGUCCCGUCUCCGGCUGAGCCGACACCGGUGGCCAGCGCCCGCGCAGGCGAGUCCGUGGCCAAGCUCCUGGCCGGCGCGGCAGCGUGGCCUGGAGCCGCUGAGCGCCUCGGCGUGCAGACCCCCGCGCCUCGGUCCGACAUGGAGGUUGGGAGCAGCCGCUGCGCUCGGGGCCGCGCUGUAGAGCUGCUCCUUGCACGUCCGCCCUCAGCUUUCCAGCCACGCUCGCUCGUCCGGCCUCCUCUGCUCUUCCCCGGUGAGCCCCUGCAGAUCUCGCCCGCCAGCGAGCUUCCUCAACGCGCGCAGCCCCACCUUCGCACGACUCCCUUGGCUCGGUCGAGCAGGGCCAUGGCCAUGGCCAUCCUCUCCUACCCGUCCUCCAUUCUCUCUGUUCUAUCCCGAGGUGGAAGAAAGCCGAAAUAGAACCGUCGUGCGGUUAAUAGGCUCACAGUAGAGUAGGAAACCAAUUGCUUUCCCCCAAAUUCAUGUGGCCACGUGUUAGCAUGCCAUUGGCAUUUCUAAUUUGUGUGAUCUUCUAUGGCCACAACCGUGCGACCCUAUUUGAGACUCAUUUUUUCGGCUAAUAGAAAUGUGUCGUAUCACAGUAAUCUGUGAGAUACUAAAUAUUCAAUAUAUUUUGUGUCCCAAAUCCGUUUUAAUCCAUUCCAGUUACGUUUGCUUUGUAAUAAUAUCGUCUAUAUGUUAGAAACAUUAUUUUGUCGCAACACAUGUCUUCGUUAAUUUAUUAAUUGUUUAUUUAUCUGAUGGUAAUUAAAAUAGCAAUUUAAUUAAAACUAAUAUGUAGUUUUAAUCUGUGCAAUUAUAAAUACAUGUUAACAUAAAUAAUGCUAACUCAAAUACAUGAUCAAAUAGUCGUCUAGUGUAAACACAACAUCUAUUUAGUAGUUUUUGCGUGUCAUUCACGCGCUGUUUCUACGUUGUUGUCGUUCGCUCGCGCGCAGCCGCCCCCACCCCCGCGCUCUCGUUGUCGAGCUGCCCAUGGUGCCCGGCGACCAGGCCGCCUCUCUCCUGUGUCCACCUCGGCCACCGGCGAGAGCCCGUGAGCAGUAGGGCGCUCGUGCGCAGCCGCGCUCCCCAAGUCAGCGAGCCGCCGCGGCCGAGUCACCGCGCGCUCGGCACGCCCAGCACUCCGCCAUGGCUAGCUAUGGUGACCGAACUGCCGAGCCCGACCCCCCCGAUGUCCCUGCAGCCCGCCCCGGUCGUUCGUCUACCUUCGCCGUGCCUCGGGCUCGCUAUUAGCCAUGUCGUGCACGUCAAAUCACGCGUGUGCAGCGCCUCGCCAUGCUCUCGCAGCCGUCAUCGCGCAACUAGUGCACGCACUCGCGUUCGCUUGCGCGCAGUGCGUCGACGGGACUCCGUCUACGUUCGUCUACCCCCUCGUCUACGUCCGUCUACCCCUCGUCUACCCCCAUGUGCAUUCGUGUCGCUCGCCAUCGCCCGCGCGCCGCGACAUCGUUUGCUCAUCGCGUUCUGUUCGCGCGCGUUGCGCAUGCUGUUCGCACGUGUCGUCGUGCGUUCUACACACGUUAAUAAUUCGCCUCACCUAGAAUAGCUCGCGUUAAUUAAAUACAUAUUUAAGCAACGAUUAUUCGAACAACAAACUAAUCAGGACUAAGUAUUAAUUUUACCUGGCAUAUGAUUAAUGUCCGUUAAUAUGAUUAAACCGAAUUAAAUGUUAUAAUUCAUAUUUGCUUAGUGUAAACGUGAUAUCCCUCGACCGUAGCGUCAGUCGUCUCAGUUCCGUUCUCGCGUAGUCGUAGAUGCGAAUUCUAUGUCGCGUGCAUAUUCAUUUGAUCUAUAUUGUUGUAUGGUGUACUGUUUUCUACCAUUUCAAGAAUGUUGGAUGUAUGUUUGCACUCGCGUAGAUAUCGGGCCGUUCGUGGAGUCUGAGGGAAUUGCAGGAGAAGACCCUGAGCAGC